GACGAACGCUGGCGGCGUGCUUAACACAUGCAAGUCGAACGGAAAGGCCCUGCUUUUGUGGGGUGCUCGAGUGGCGAACGGGUGAGUAACACGUGAGUAACCUGCCCUUGACUUUGGGAUAACUUCAGGAAACUGGGGCUAAUACCGGAUAGGAGCUCCUGCUGCAUGGUGGGGGUUGGAAAGUUUCGGCGGUUGGGGAUGGACUCGCGGCUUAUCAGCUUGUUGGUGGGGUAGUGGCUUACCAAGGCUUUGACGGGUAGCCGGCAUGAGAGGGUGACCGGCCACAAUGGGACUGAGAUAGGGCGCAGACGGGUACGGGAGGCAGCAGUGGGGAAUAUUGCACAAUGGGCGGAAGCGUGAUGCAGCAACGCCGCGUGCGGGAUGACGGCCUUCGGGUUGUAAAACGCUUUCGCAUGUGACGAAGAGUGAGUGACGGUAAUGGGUAAAGAAGCACCGGCUAACUACGUG
rnacentral:rRNA from 1 species